GGGUUGUGAGGUUAAGCGACUAAGCGUACACGGUGGAUGCCCUGGCAGUCAGAGGCGAUGAAGGGCGUGCUAAUCUGCGAUAAGCGCCGGUAAGGUGAUAUGAACCGUUAUAACCGGCGAUACCCGAAUGGGGAAACCCAGUGUGAUUCGUCACACUAUCAUUAACUGAAUCCAUAGGUUAAUGAGGCGAACCGGGGGAACUGAAACAUCUAAGUACCCCGAGGAAAAGAAAUCAACCGAGAUUCCCCCAGUAGCGGCGAGCGAACGGGGAGGAGCCCAGAGCCUGAAUCAGCAUGUGUGUUAGUGGAAGCGUCUGGAAAGGCGCGCGAUACAGGGUGACAGCCCCGUACACAAAAGCGCAUGUGCUGUGAGCUCGAUGAGUAGGGCGGGACACGUGGUAUCCUGUCUGAAUAUGGGGGGACCAUCCUCCAAGGCUAAAUACUCCUGACUGACCGAUAGUGAACCAGUACCGUGAGGGAAAGGCGAAAAGAACCCCGGCGAGGGGAGUGAAAAAGAACCUGAAACCGUGUACGUACAAGCAGUGGGAGCACCCUUCGGGGUGUGACUGCGUACCUUUUGUAUAAUGGGUCAGCGACUUAUAUUCUGUAGCAAGGUUAACCGAAUAGGGGAGCCGGAGGGAAACCGAGUCUUAAUUGGGCGUUAAGUUGCAGGGUAUAGACCCGAAACCCGGUGAUCUAGCCAUGGGCAGGUUGAAGGUUGGGUAACACUAACUGGAGGACCGAACCGACUAAUGUUGAAAAAUUAGCGGAUGACCUGUGGCUGGGGGUGAAAGGCCAAUCAAACCGGGAGAUAGCUGGUUCUC
rnacentral:rRNA from 1 species